rnacentral:rRNA from 1 species
GACGAACGCUGGCGGCGUGCCUAAUACAUGCAAGUAGAACGCACAGUUUAUACCGUAGCUUGCUACACCAUAGACUGCGAGUUGCGAACGGGUGAGUAACGCGUAGGUAACCUGCCUGGUAGCGGGGGAUAACUAUUGGAAACGAUAGCUAAUACCGCAUAAUAUUAAUUAUUGCAUGAUAAUUAAUUGAAAGGUGCAAUUGCACCACUACCAGAUGGACCUGCGUUGUAUUAGCUAGUAGGUGAGGUAACGGCUCACCUAGGCGACGAUACAUAGCCGACCUGAGAGGGUGAUCGGCCACACUGGGACUGAGACACGGCCCAGACUCCUACGGGAGGCAGCAGUAGGGAAUCUUCGGCAAUGGACGAAAGUCUGACCGAGCAACGCCGCGUGAGUGAAGAAGGGUUUCGGAUCGUAAAGCUCUGUUGUAAGAGAAGAACGGGUGUGAGAGUGGAAAGUUCACACUGUGACGGUAUCUUACCAGAAAGGGACGGCUAACUACGUG